rnacentral:rRNA from 1 species
GACGAACGCUGGCGGCGUGCCUAAUACAUGCGAGUUGAGCGCUGAAGGUUGGUACUUGUACCAACUGGAUGAGCAGCGAACGGGUGAGUAACGCGUGGGGAAUCUGCCUUUGAGCGGGGGACAACAUUUGGAAACGAAUGCUAAUACCGCAUAAAAACUUUAAACACAAGUUUUAAGUUUGAAAGAUGCAAUUGCAUCGCUCAAAGAUGAUCCCGCGUUGUAUUAGCUAGUUGGUGAGGUAAAGGCUCACCAAGGCGAUGAUACAUAGCCGACCUGAGAGGGUGAUCGGCCACAUUGGGACUGAGACACGGCCCAAACUCCUACGGGAGGCAGCAGUAGAGAAUCUUCGGCAAUGGACGAAAGUCUGACCGAGCAACGCCGCGUGAGUGAAGAAGGGUUUCGGAUCGUAAAACUCUGUUGGUAGAGAAGAACGUUGGUGAGAGUGGAAAGCUCAUCAAGUGACGGUAACUACCCAGAAAGGGACGGCUAACUACGUG